GUGAUUGUAGCUCAGUUGGUUAGAGCGCCUGGUUGUGGCCCAGGAGGUCGGGGGUUCGAGUCCCCUCGUUCACCCCA
rnacentral:tRNA from 1 species